rnacentral:rRNA from 1 species
GUCGAACGAGAAAGUGGAGCAAUCCAUGAGUAAAGUGGCGACCGGGUGAGUAACACGUGACUACCUACCCUUGAGUGGGGGAUAACCUCGGGAAACCGAGGCUAAUACCGCAUAAUAUCGAAAGAUCAAAGGAGUAAUCCGCUUUUGGAGGGGGUCGCGGCUGAUUAGCUAGUUGGUAGGGUAAUGGCCUACCAAGGCGAAGAUCGGUAUCCGGCCUGAGAGGGCGCACGGACACACUGGAACUGAAACACGGUCCAGACUCCUACGGGAGGCAGCAGUGGGGAAUUUUGCACAAUGGGGGCAACCCUGAUGCAGCGACGCCGCGUGAGCGAUGAAGCCCUUCGGGGUGUAAAGCUCUUUCGACAGGAACGAUAAUGACGGUACCUGGAGAAGAAGCUGCGGCUAACUACGUGCCAGCAGCCGCGGUAAUACGUAGGCAGCAAGCGUUGUUCGGAGUUACUGGGCGUAAAGAGUGCGUAGGCGGUGCCCCAAGUCUGUUGUGAAAUCUCCCGGCUUAACUGGGAGGGUGCGGUGGAAACUGGGGUGCUCGAGUGUGGGAGAGGUAAGCGGAAUUCCUGGUGUAGCGGUGAAAUGCGUAGAUAUCAGGAGGAACACCGGCGGUGUAGACGGCUUACUGGACCACGACUGACGCUGAGGCACGAAAGCGUGGGUAGCAAACAGGAUUAGAUACCCUGGUAGUCCACGCCCUAAACGAUGCAUACUUGGUGUGAGCGAUUCAUUUCGUUCGUGCCGGAGCUAACGCGUUAAGUAUGC